rnacentral:rRNA from 1 species
UACGGGGGGGGGCAAGCGUUGUUCGGAAUUACUGGGCGUAAAGGGCUCGUAGGCGGCCAACUAAGUCAGACGUGAAAUCCCUCGGCUUAACCGGGGGAACUGCGUCUGAUACUGGAUGGCUUGAAUCCGGGAGAGGGAUGCGGAAUUCCAGGUGUAGCGGUGAAAUGCGUAGAUAUCUGGAGGAACACCGGUGGCGAAGGCGGCAUCCUGGACCGGCAUUGACGCUGAGGAGCGAAAGCCAGGGGGAGCAAACGGG